GUAUCAUUAGCUCAGCUGGCAGAGCACUCGACUUUUAAUCGAACUGUCCGGGGUUCAAGUCCCCGAUGGUACA
rnacentral:tRNA from 2 species